UACGAAGGGGGGCUAGCGUUGCUCGGAAUUACUGGGCGUAAAGGGAGCGUAGGCGGACAUUUAAGUCAGAGGUGAAAUCCCGGAGCUUAACUUCGGAACUGCCUUUGAUACUGGGUGUCUUGAGUGUGAGAGAGGUAUGUGGAACUCCGAGUGUAGAGGUGAAAUUCGUAGAUAUUCGGAAGAACACCAGUGGCGAAGGCGACAUACUGGCUCAUUACUGACGCUGAGGCUCGAAAAGCGUGGGGGA
rnacentral:rRNA from 1 species